UGUAAAGUUACUGUCACUGUUAUUAUUUUAACUUUUAUUCUGACCUGUGAUCCGUUUUAUUACUCAGGCACAGGACACCUGAGGAAAUCUAGGUUACAGGAAACUGAAAAUGUUUCUUUUUUAAAAAGAUUCUUUUGAGAGAGAGAGAACACGCGUGCGCAGGCGCAUGUGUGCACAAGCAGGGGGAGGGGCAAAGGGAGAAGGAGAAGCGGACUCCCUGUUGAGCAGAAGCCCCAACACAGGGCUUUAUUCUAGGGCCCUGAGGUCAAGACCUGAGCCUCAGGCAGAUGUUUAACUGACUGAGCCAAUCAGAUGCCCCCCAGAAACCGAAAAUGUUUAGAAUGAAUUGGGCAGGAUUGAACCUGCGCAUUUGUCUUACUGAAAGGACCUUCUGGGAUAGGUGCUGACAAAGAUCUGGAUGUGUGAGUCCAGGAAUAAUGUGGAGAAAUAGCAAAACAAACUAAAGAACAGAAACUCCAAACCCUGAUUCCUAGACUAAAUGUUUGAGCUAUAAAUGCAAGAGAGGACUUGAUAAAAGGUUGCUGAGAAGAAUCUAGAGGAGAAAAGAACCAGUAAGUCUGGAGUGACAACUAAGAGAUUGUGGAAGCAAGUUCAAGACAAUCUGAAAUCAAGUGGGAAUCUGGGCACCAUCAACAAAACACUGAGGAAAUUACAGACAGAGGUUAAACUCACAUAAACUUGCUGAGUGUUUGUUUAGUGGCCAUCUAUUAAUGGCCUAAAGAGCUAAGUUAUGUCAAGUUAAAGUUCCUGGUUUCCAAAGACAAAAUUACAUGCCCUCUGACAGAAUCAUGACAAAGGGCACACAGUGGUGAGCUCUUUCCUGCUCUUCCCACUAGAAGAAAACUGAACCUCACUGCAGUCUCCAAGAGCCAUGAUGUUACCACACCAAGACCUGAUGAAGCCUGUCAUAAAGAAGAUGCCCAUUACCGGCUUGAUAAAUCAGUAAACCAAUAUAUGAUGUGGAAAUAAAAGAAACAAAUGUUACCAGGGCUGAUUAUUCACAUUGACACCAAGCAGCUGUGUUCUGUACUGUUUUUAGUACCAUUACACAUAACACUGGAAACUGUUCUCCUCAACCUAGUCCUUCACCAGCAAUCACUACAAAUAAAAAAUUAAACAUACCAUAUUUCUGAUAUUUUAUUUAUAAGUAUUGGAUUGUAGCCCAUUUUUUAAUAUUUAUGGAGGGAGGAGUUAGUUUGAAGACAAAAAUAUUUCUGGUAUUU
rnacentral:lncRNA from 1 species